UCUAGACAGUGCUAGUUUGAUCUUGACGUGGUGAAUAUCGUGACAUUUUUUUUUAAGAGUUCAGAUAAUGAAAAUGAGAAUGAUUACAAUAUCAAUGCCAGCAUGAACCAGACGUCACGGUUAUUUGGAAAGCUAAGAGAUUGUGUUAUUUUAAUGGCAGCUGGAUAAGGGAGGUAAAUCAUCAAAAAGGGCAUACUGCACCAAAUGGAGAGAAGAAUUUGGGAGUGAGCAUGGUGGACAAAGGAAUGUAAAAGAUGAUUCUCACAGGACCUCAAGGAAACAGGCAAGUAAUUCUAAAUUAAUCAAAAGAGGUUUUUGGGUUUUUUUUUUUUUUUUGGUCUCCCCCAAAGACCUCAAUUCUCAAUUGAAAAUAGUGGCUGCUUGGGGCACCUGGGUGGCUCAGUCGGUUGAGCAUCCAACUCGUGGUUUCAGCUUAGGUCAUGAUCCCAGGGUUGUGGGAUGGAGCCCUGGAUCAGGCUCCGAGCUGAGUGUGGAGCCUGCUUGGGAUUCUCUCUUUCUCUCCCUCUGCCCCCUCUCCCCCUCAAAUUAAAAAAAAAAAAAAUAGUGGCUGCUGAAUUAGCAUGGGCGUACCAUAUGAAUGAAUAUAUUGCUCCUUUGAUUGUUCUAUGACACCGAGUAAAGUUACAUUUCCUCAUUCAGAGGCUGUACCUGAAAUAUCCUGUGGGUGAACCACAGAUAAAAUUUUGAUAACAGAUGUGUUGCCCCUUUACAGGGCAACAAUCAUGCUUUCCAUAGUAUACAGAGGACUGAGUCCAACCAUGGCAAUAAAGAAAGGUUCUCCUACCUCUUAAGCACUUUGAUUUGAAAAGUGGAGUUUCAAAUGGUCUUUUUGAUUUCCAGGAAGAUUUUAAUGAAACUUCAGGAAAAAAAUUUUAAAUGUUGAUGAUAUACAAAGGAAGCACUGCUUCCCUGCACAUUUGACAGACGGUGCGAAUGUCAAUUUUUGCAAAUUCUGUUCAGGCUAUGAACCAUUACCAAAGAAAAUGAAAAGGUCUUACCUGCCGAAUGUCCUGCACACAUGGGUAAUGGAGUGUGGUUUGCUUCCUGUGAUAUUGAGGCUUUCCCAAUGAAAGGUUUGGUUAUUUCUCAGUUUCUUCAAAAUAUGCAAAAGCACUUAAUGAGCUAUUUGAUGUUCUAGAAGUGGAAGGAGAUGGUCUCCUUUACACAUAUGUGCCUAUGAGAGGGCUGUCAUCGCCACCAGUCAUGGAAGAGAUCUUAAAAAGUUAGGCUACCAUCAAAUCAUAUUUUCAAAGUGUAGGACAAGAAGAAUGUCCUCUAAUUUGAAAACAUAUUGAGAAUGAGAAUGGAGAAAAGGAUUGCAUUCAAGUGGAAAUUUACAAAUGGUUCUUUCCAAAACUGAUGAUCUUUGAAGAGGCCAGAAGGAUCCUGAAAAAGGAUGAACUGACAGCACCUGAGGUGUUCAAUGUUCUGUGCAGGAAAUAACAAAAACUCAUGUAAUAAAAAAUGACUCAGAUUUGGGGAAGUAAAACAAAAUGUCACUGGAAGAGGACAACCAAUUUAAACAGGACUUUCUCACUUCUUUACUAAGACUGGAAUUUGUAAUCCAACUUUAAUAUCAUAAGCUCAAAUAUCUCUGCUUUAAAACCAUUUUCACACACAGAGAAGGAGAGAGAGAUUACAAAAUUACAUUUUGUAAUUGUAUGACACGCAGGGUGCUUCAAAAUGUUUCAAAAGGAUGCAACUUUAGGUGUUGAAUUUAUUGAUGCAAAGGGGCUGACAGAACAGCUGGUCUACAAAACCAGCCUACAGAUACAAAGAGGAUGGGCAUUUUUGGAGAGCUGGAAGCUAAUCCCUACAAGUCUAAAAACCUGCUGUUGUUAGUAAGAUCUAAAGUAUUCCGUGCUCAAAUGAUUUCGUUGAGAGGAUCGGUACCUUGAUGCCAUCACACUGGACUGACAGCACGCAUUAGUGUAAUGUGGGCUUAAUAAACGCAGCACUACAAGUCAAAGCAUAUGAUGUUUGGCCAUACCUAGUUAGACCACUACAUAAAAGAAGGGUUUCCUAAAGGCUGCGGCAAGAAAACAGAAAGAGGUAAAAAUAUCCACUGCAUCAUAGGACAGAAAUAUCAUUGCUAUUUUUAGUUAAAUAUUGGUAAUAUGUUUAAUUAGUCCUACUGUACUUACAUUCUCCUCUUAAAAAGUCUUACAUGUAUGUAUCUUUUUUUUUAAUACUUUAUUUUUGUCGAGUAGUUUUAGGUUCAUAGCAAAAUUGAAGGGAAAGUACAGAGAUUUCCCAUAUACCCCCCCCAACUCUCCACCCCCACUGCAUAGCCUUCCUGCCCCCCCCAUCACCAUCUCCACCAGAGUGUACAUUUUGUUAAACUAACGAACCUACCUUAACACAUCAUAAUCAGCCAAAGUCCUUAGUUUACAUUUGUGUUUCCUCUUGAUGUGGUACAUUCUAGGGGUUUGGACAAAUGCAUAAUGACAUGUGUCCAUCGUUAUAGUAUCACACAUGGUAUUUCCACUGCCUGAAAAUCAUCUCUGCUUCAUCUAUUUCUCCCUGCCCCGCCCCCCACCCCACCCCCAACUCCUGGCAGGGGUUUUUCACUGUCUCCGUACUUCUGCCUUUUGUAAAUUAUCAUAGAAGAAUGCCAUGGAAUCAUACCAUAUGCAGCCUUUUACAUGUAUGUAUCUUAAUACAAAUUUUAAGUAUCCAAUAAUGAGUUAAAAUAAAUUGCUGUAUCAGAGAAUAAAAACAUCAUAUAACUAUUUUUGUAUUUCUCACAAAGUAGUCCUACUAUUAAUUGCCAUUAAUAAUCCUAUUGUUCUGUCUAAAUAAUAGCAUUUAUGUAACACAAAAGUAAAUAAUAUAGGAUAUAUCAUUUCCAGUAAAUACCGAUUUUUCAUAUUUCAUAUUUAUGAUUCUAAUAAAUGAUUUCAAAUAAGCGAUUUUUCAUAUUUUUAUGUUAAAGUAAUACAUACACACGUAUAAUUAUUUUUUACAGAUUAUCACGGGUUGAGGAGUCGGGUACGGCUGGGCCCCAACCUGGCUCUCUAAAACUGUUCACGCGAACACACGUCCCACCUCCUCCUCGCCUGAGUUCCGUUUAACGCUAGGGAUGCAGAGCCUACUAAGACCCGGCCGCCAUCCCCAAGAGGCUCACAGUGGCGAGGAAGCCAGACCCAUAACAGGCCGGCCGAGAGCCAGGCCGAAGGUGCCAGGACGGAGGUGGCCCAGGUAACUCGGCCCCAAAGAGGUC
rnacentral:lncRNA from 1 species